GGAGUGUUGGCUCAGUGGGUAAGAGCACUGGCUGCUCUUCCAGAGGUGCUGGGUUCAAUUCCCAGCACCCA
rnacentral:tRNA from 1 species